UAAGAAUCUUCCGCAAUGGGCGAAAGCCUGACGGAGCGACGCCGCGUGGACGAAGAAGGCGGAAACGUUGUAAAGUCCUUUUCUUGAGGAGGAAUAAGCCUGCGAGGGAAUGAGCAGGUGAUGACGGUAAUCGAGGAAUAAGCCCCGGCUAAUUACGUGCCAGCAGCCGCGGUAACACGUAAGGGGCGAGCGUUGUUCGGAAUUAUUGGGCGUAAAGGGCGUGUAGGCGGUUUUGCAAGCCUGGUGUUAAAAUCCACAGCUUAACUGUGGGCGAGCGCUGGGAACUGCGGGACUAGAGUUUAGGAGGGGAAGCUAGAAUUCCAGGUGUAGGGGUGAAAUCUGUAGAUAUCUGGAAGAAUACCGGUGGCGAAGGCGAGCUUCUGGCCAUAGACUGACGCUGAUGCGCGAAAGCGUGGGGAGCGAAC
rnacentral:rRNA from 1 species